CGCGUAGGUGGUUUGAUAAGGGUGUGGUGAAAGCCCGGGGCUCAACCCCGGGUCUGCCGUGCCGACUGUUAAACUCGAGGACUGUAGAGGCAGACGGAAUUCCGGGUGUAGCGGUGGAAUGCGUAGAGAUCCGGAGGAAGACCGGUGGCGAAGGCGGUCUGCUGGGCAGUUUCUUGACACUGAGGCGCGACAGCGUGGGGAGGCAAAACA
rnacentral:rRNA from 1 species